UGCAACCGAGGUACCGGCCCUUAGUGGGAACCGAACCCGGGAUUCUCUGGUGCGUGGGCCGAUGCUCUAACUGCUGAGCCAAACCGGCCAGGGCUAUUCGAUAUAUUUUCAUGCUUAGACCAGGGUAACGAGUUUUGGGAAGGAAGAUCACAAAGAUGUUGCAUUUCUUACAAAUUGAAGGCAAAACCCUCCACCUGCAGAAUCACUAAGGCUCACUUUAUUGUGAUACUCACUUUAUUGCUGUGGUCUGGAACCAAACCUGCAAUAUCUCCAAGGGAGCAGCGACCUACCAGAUUGCAGUGGCUCUGCCAGUGUGUCCUGAAUGAAGACAACAUGAACAGAACCCCUGGCACAACUCAAGAUGGGCAGGAGGGCCCAGAUGCAGAAUUCCCAAGUUACAUUAGCUGAAAAUGGAAUCAAGUGAGAUCAAGGAAUGAGACUCAAGAGGAUGUGCAGCUUUUUCAAGGUACCCAGACAGUUAAGAGUAAAGAGUCAGUUGUGAAGUCAAACCUACCUGACUCUAAAACAUGGCUAUUUUCAUUACACAACGAUGCCUGCAAA